rnacentral:rRNA from 1 species
UUACUGGCUCAGGACGAACGCUGGCGGCAUGCUUCAUACAUGCAAGUCGAACGAUAAGGUCUCUUCGGAGAUACAUAAGUGGCGGACGGGUGAGUAAUAUGUAGGAAAUCUGCCCUUGAGAGGGGGACAACAGAGGGAAACUUCUGCUAAUACCCCAUAUGAGCGUACCUGAAAUGGUAUUCUUGAAAACUCCGGUGCUCAAGGAUGAGCCUGCAUCUGAUUAGCUUGUUGGCGGUGUAAUGGACCACCAAGGCGACGAUCAGUAGCUGGUUUGAGAGGAUGAUCAGCCACAAUGGGACUGAGACACGGCCCAUACUCCUACGGGAGGCAGCAGUAGGGAAUUUUGCGCAAUGGGCGAAAGCCUGAACCGCAGCAAUGCCGCGUGAACGUAGAAGCCCUUCGGGGUGUAAAGUUCUGUCAGUGGGGACGAAUAAUGACGGUACCCACAGAGGAAGCACCGGCUAACUCCGUGCCAGCCGCCGC